GACGAACGCUGGCGGCGUGCCUAAUACAUGCAAGUAGAACGCUGAAGAGAGGAGCUUACUCUUCUUGGAUGAGUUGCGAACGGGUGAGUAACGCGUAGGUAACCUGCCUUGUAGCGGGGGAUAACUAUUGGAAACGAUAGCUAAUACCGCAUAACAAUGGAUGACACAUGUCAUUUAUUUGAAAGGGGCAAUUGCUCCACUACAAGAUGGACCUGCGUUGUAUUAGCUAGUAGGUGAGGUAAUGGCUCACCUAGGCGACGAUACAUAGCCGACCUGAGAGGGUGAUCGGCCACACUGGGACUGAGACACGGCCCAGACUCCUACGGGAGGCAGCAGUAGGGAAUCUUCGGCAAUGGGGGCAACCCUGACCGAGCAACGCCGCGUGAGUGAAGAAGGUUGUCGGAUCGUAAAGCUCUGUUGUAAGUCAAGAACGGGUGUGAGAGUGGAAAGUUCACACUGUGACGGUAGCUUACCAGAAAGAGACGGCUAACUACGUG
rnacentral:rRNA from 1 species